UACGGGAGGCAGCAGUGGGGAAUAUUGCACAAUGGGCGCAAGCCUGAUGCAGCCAUGCCGCGUGUAUGAAGAAGGCCUUCGGGUUGUAAAGUACUUUCAGUCGUGAGGAAGGUGUUAAGGUUAAUAACCUUAGCAAUUGACGUUAGCGACAGAAGAAGCACCGGCUAACUCCGUGCCAGCAGCCGCGGUAAUACGGAGGGUGCGAGCGUUAAUCGGAAUUACUGGGCGUAAAGGGCACGCAGGCGGUUAAUUAAGUUGGAUGUGAAAUCCCCGGGCUUAACCUGGGAAUGGCAUUCAAGACUGGUUAGCUAGAGUCUUGUAGAGGGGGUUAGAAUUCCAUGUGUAGCGGUGAAAUGCGUAGAGAUGUGGAGGAAUACCGGUGGCGAAGGCGGCCCCUGGACAAAGACUGACGCUCAUGUGCGAAAGCGUGGGGAGCAAACAGGGAUUAAUACC
rnacentral:rRNA from 1 species